rnacentral:rRNA from 1 species
UGGGGAAUUUUGGACAAUCGGGGAAACCCUGAUCCAGCCAUCCCGCGUGUGCGAUGAAGGCCUUCGGGUUGUAAAGCACUUUUGGCAGGCAAGAAACGUCAUGGGUUAAUACCCCGUGAAACCGACGGUACCCGCAGAAUAAGCACCGGCUAACUACGUGCCAGCAGCCGCGGUAAUACGUAGGGUGCAAGCGUUAAUCGGAAUUACUGGACGUAAAGCGUGCGCAGGCGGUUCGGAAAGAAAGAUGUGAAAUCCCAGAGCUCCACGAUGGAACUGCAUUUUUGAGUACCGGGAUAGAGUGUGUCAGAGGGAGGUGGAAUUCCGCGUGUGGCAAUGAAGUGGGUAGAUAUGCGGAGAAACACCGAUGGCGAGGGCAACCUCCUGGGAUAUCACUGACACUCAUGCACGAAAGCGUGGGGAGCAAGCAGG